rnacentral:rRNA from 1 species
GCUUAAUACCACCCUGAACACGCCCGAUCUCGAAAGUUAAGCAGGGUCGGGCCAGUACUUGGAUGGGAGACCGCCUGGGAAUACCAGGCGCUGUAAGCU